AUUGAACGCUGGCGGCAUGCCUUACACAUGCAAGUCGAACGGCAGCACGGGAGCAAUCCUGGUGGCGAGUGGCGAACGGGUGAGUAAUGUAUCGGAACGUACCUUUCAGUGGGGGAUAACGUAGCGAAAGUUACGCUAAUACCGCAUAUUCUGUGAGCAGGAAAGCAGGGGAUCGCAAGACCUUGCGCUGAUUGAGCGGCCGAUAUCAGAUUAGCUAGUUGGUGAGGUAAAGGCUCACCAAGGCGACGAUCUGUAGCGGGUCUGAGAGGAUGAUCCGCCACACUGGAACUGAGACACGGUCCAGACUCCUACGGGAGGCAGCAGUGGGGAAUUUUUGGACAAUGGGCGGCAAGCCUGAUCCAGCCAUGCCGCGUGAGUGAAGAAGG
rnacentral:rRNA from 1 species